rnacentral:rRNA from 1 species
GAUGAACGCUGGCGGCGUGCCUAAUACAUGCAAGUCGAGCGAACAGACGAGGAGCUUGCUCCUCUGACGUUAGCGGCGGACGGGUGAGUAACACGUGGAUAACCUACCUAUAAGACUGGGAUAACUUCGGGAAACCGGAGCUAAUACCGGAUAAUAUAUUGAACCGCAUGGUUCAAUAGUGAAAGACGGUUUUGCUGUCACUUAUAGAUGGAUCCGCGCCGCAUUAGCUAGUUGGUAAGGUAACGGCUUACCAAGGCAACGAUGCGUAGCCGACCUGAGAGGGUGGACCGCCACACCGGAACUUGAGCACGGGCCCAGCCCCUACGGGAGGCAGCAGUAGGGAAUCUUCCGCAAUGGGCGAAAGCCUGACGGAGCAACGCCGCGUGAGUGAUGAAGGUCUUCGGAUCGUAAAACUCUGUUAUUAGGGAAGAACAAAUGUGUAAGUAACUAUGCACGUCUUGACGGUACCUAAUCAGAAAGCCACGGCUAACUACGUG